UACGUAGGUGACAAGCGUUAUCCGGAUUUAUUGGGCGUAAAGCGCACGCAGGCGGUCUAUCAAGUCUGACGUGGAAAUCUCUCGGCUUAACCGGGAGCGGUCGUUGGAAACUGAUGGACUUGAGGCGAUGAGAGGGGUGUGGAAUUCCCGGUGUAGUGGUGGAAUGCGUAGAUAUCGGGAGGAACAUCAGUGGCGAAAGCGGCACCCUGGCAUUAGCCUGACGCUCAUGUGCGAAAGCGUGGGGAGCGAAUGGG
rnacentral:rRNA from 1 species